rnacentral:rRNA from 1 species
GAAAAUACAGUGGCGGUCUCGCCGCAGCCUUUCCUGCGCAGUAGUUUGCACACUCGCAUCGGGAGCGCGGCGCGUCCACAGCCGUUAAACACCCCAAACUUCUGAAAUGUUGACCUCGGAUCAGGUAGGAAUACCCGCUGAACUUAAGCAUAUCAAUAAGCGGAGGAAAAGAAACCAACAGGGAUUGCCCCAGUAACGGCGAGUGAAGCGGCAACAGCUCAAAUUUGAAAUCUGGCCCCUAGGGUCCGAGUUGUAAUUUGUAGAGGAUGCUUUUGGUGAGGUGCCGCCCGAGUUCCCUGGAACGGGACGCCACAGAGGGUGAGAGCCCCGUCUGGCUGGCCACCGAGCCUCUGUAAAGCUCCUUCGACGAGUCGAGUAGUUUGGGAAUGCUGCUCAAAAUGGGAGGUAUAUGUCUUCUAAAGCUAAAUAUUGGCCAGAGACCGAUAGCGCACAAGUAGAGUGAUCGAAAGAUGAAAAGCACCUUGAAAAGAGGGUUAAAUAGUACGUGAAAUUGUUGAAAGGGAAGCGCUUGUGACCAGACUUGGGCGCGGCGGAUCAUCCGGGGUUCUCUCCGGUGCACUUCGCCGCGUCUAGGCCAGCAUCAGUUCGUCGCGGGGGAAAAAGGCUUCGGGAACGUGGCUCCUCCGGGAGUGUUAUAGCCCGUUGCAUAAUACCCUGCGGUGGACUGAGGACCGCGCAUCUGCAAGGAUGCUGGCGUAAUGGUCACCAGCGACCCGUCUUGAAACACGGACCAAGGAGUCGUCUUCGUAUGCGAGUGUUCGGGUGUCAAACCCCUACGCGUAAUGAAAGUGAACGCAGGUGAGAGCUUCGGCGCAUCAUCGACCGAUCCUGAUGUUCUCGGAUGGAUUUGAGUAAGAGCAUACGGGGCCGGACCCGAAAGAAGGUGAACUAUGCCUGUAUAGGGUGAAGCCAGAGGAAACUCUGGUGGAGGCUCGCAGCGGUUCUGACGUGCAAAUCGAUCGUCAAAUAUGGGCAUGGGGGCGAAAGACUAAUCGAACCUUCUAGUAGCUGGUUUCCGCCGAAGUUUCCCUCAGGAUAGCAGUGUUGAGCUCAGUUUUAUGAGGUAAAGCGAAUGAUUAGGGACCCGGGGGCGCUAUAUUGCCUUCAUCCAUUCUCAAACUUUAAAUAUGUAAGAAGCCCUUGUUACUUAGUUGAACGUGGGCAUUCGAAUGUAUCAACACUAGUGGGCCAUUUUUGGUAAGCAGAACUGGCGAUGCGGGAUGAACCGAACGCGAGGUUAAGGUGCCAGAGUAGACGCUCAUCAGACACCACAAAAGGCGUUAGUACAUCUUGACAGCAGGACGGUGGCCAUGGAAGUCGGAAUCCGCUAAGGACUGUGUAACAACUCACCUGCCGAAUGUACUAGCCCUGAAAAUGGAUGGCGCUCAAGCGUCUCACCCAUACCUCGCCCUCGGGGUAGAAACGAUGCCCCGAGGAGUAGGCGGACGUGGAGGUCGUGACGAAGCCUAGGGCGUGAGCCCGGGUCGAACGGCCUCUA